AGAAUCAACGCUGGCGGCGUGCCUAACACAUGCAAGUCGAGCGCGAAAGGGGGGGUAACUCCCCAAGUAGAGCGGCGAACGGGUGAGUAACGCGUGGGUCAUCUACCUUCGAGUGGGGAAUAACAGCGGGAAACUGCUGCUAAUACCGCAUGACAUCGUCGGGCUUACGGCCUGACGAUCAAAGCCGGGGACGCAAGGCCUGGCGCUUGAAGAGGACGCCCGCGUCCGAUUAGCUAGUUGGCGGGUAACGGCCCACCAAGGCGACGAUCGGUA
rnacentral:rRNA from 1 species